rnacentral:rRNA from 1 species
GAAGCUUGCUUCUGUUGAAGAUGGAUUUUCUCUUAGUGGCGCAAGGGUGAGUAACGCGUGGGUAAUCUACCUAAGAGACUGGAAUAACAAAUGGAAACGUUUGCUAAUACCGGAUUAAAUGUAAGAUGAAAUAAGUCGUAUAUUAAAAGAAGCCUCAAAGCUUCGCUUUUAGAUGAGCCUGCGUCGCAUUAGCUAGUUGGUGGGGUAAAGGCCUACCAAGGCGACGAUGCGUAGCCGACUCGAGAGGGUGAUCGGCCACAUUGGGACUGAGACACGGCCCAAACUCCUACGGGAGACAGCAGUUAGGAAUAUUCGUCAAUGGGGGAAACCCUGAACGAGCAAUGCCGCGUGAGUGAUGACGGUCCUUUGGAUUGUAAAACUCUGUUGUUAGGGAAGAAAUGAUUGUAUAGGAAAUGAUACAAUUUUGACGGUACCUUUCAAGAAAGCUCCGGCUAACUACGUGCCAGCAGCCGCGGUAAUACGUAGGGAGCGAGCGUUAUCC